AAUGAAAUAUAUAUGAGGUGUGCUGAAAAGUGCCUGGCUUUAGGAGUAUUGCGAAAGGGCUGGUUGGAGGCCCUACAUUCUGAGUUCUUUUACAAGGCUUAGAAAAACUGAAGGACCGCUGCAAUAAGUGUGUGAAUCCGAGAGAGGAAU